rnacentral:rRNA from 1 species
UACGAAGGGGGCUAGCGUUGCUCGGAAUCACUGGGCGUAAAGCGCACGUAGGCGGAUCUUUAAGUCAGGGGUGAAAUCCCAAGGCUCAACCUUGGAACUGCCUUUGAUACUGGGGAUCUCGAGUGCGGAAGAGGUGAGUGGAACUGCGAGUGUAGAGGUGAAAUUCGUAGAUAUUCGCAAGAACACCAGUGGCGAAGGCGGCUCACUGGUCCGGUACUGACGCUGAGGUGCGAAAGCGUGGGGAGCAAACAGG